rnacentral:lncRNA from 1 species
UAAAAAUAAGGGUAAUAUUGUAAAUUUAUGCUGUCAUGAGGUUUUUUGGCCAUUAUGAAAACAGCAGGGGGGUAAAUAGUAUAUGUUGAUUACUAUAAGGGAGAAAGUAGCAAUCCCCCUAAAGUCAUGCGGUUUAGUAGCAUUAAAAUAUAAAUUUAUUAAAUCGCAAAAUUUAAAAGUGUGUCAGUAUGAAAAAAAAAAAUGAAGGUGCCCGUAGUAUAGAAAGACUAUGUGUAUUCAAAUUUUGAUUUUUCAAUUUUCAAUUAGCAUAAGUGGAUGUAAACACUUAGAGCUUCUCAAAUUUUAUAUCUUAUUUUUCAAACUUUUUUCUUUCAUCUUUUUUUUUUUUCUUUGUGAGUAUUCUUAUCAACAAAUUUUAACAAUACCGAGGAUCAACCGAGAACUGAUGCCUAGAGAAAUUUAUAUCUAUAGUACCACCGCCAAACCUGUUACAUGUCAAGCCUAAACCCAUAAUUAAAAUUGGCAUAUUUGAUUCAUUGACAGUACCAUUCGUUAAUGAAUUAUAAGGUAGGUAAAUAAAGUAAAGAUAAAAAAAUGAAUGAAAAGAAGGAAUCAAUCUUCUGGCGGUUGUCAAUUGCUUGUCCAAGAAACUCCAAACCCUAAUGAUCAGCAAGUAAGAAUAAAACGUGUAGUUUCAACUUUUUGACGAAAAACACUCCAUGUAAGGCCAAAAGAACUAAAAAAAUGUUAUUAUCAUUUUGGUUUCACGUUUAACUUGAUGAUAUUUAUCUAACUUCGGUCAAAGGAAGCUCAAUGGAAAGUGGAUAGUGAUUCUUACCAACAUUUCUGCAAAGAAGAAGCUGCUAAUGAUAGCACAUGCGGCAUCGCAAUAUUAGUCGGGUGGGGUGUUCGAUGUAUCAGAUAUGAAAUCAAAUUUGUCUUGAACUUUUUUUGGUUGAAGCACUUGAAUCAGUCAAUCGUCUGUUGAUAGCAACUUUAAUUAACCUUUUUUUUUUUCAUUUUCUGAGAAUAUAAAGAUUUAUUCAUUUAUUUUUAAUUUUUCGAUCUAUAGGUGAUCAACUUGUUUAUUAUACACAAUCAAAAAUAAUCUGGAGGAUAAAAGCUCUAAUCUCUCUAAAAAUUGAAGAAUACACUCUUUAAAGAAAGAGAAAAAAUAAACUCUCAUAAAAAAAAGAAAAAAAUAAACUCUCAUAAUACACAAAAAAAGUCUCGAAUCUCAACACUAAUCUCAUAUUUUUCAAAAAAAAAAAAUCUCAUGUGAGAUUAAGAGUUACCAUUAGGCUAACUAACAGUUUUGUUGGUAUUCAUCAGUUUUUUAUAUAAUUUUCAUAUGACAGUGAGAAUUUUGACACAUAAAUAAUUCAUUACAUUAUAAAACCGAUUGAAAAUCAGUAGUAAGGAGGCAUGUGCACUAUCUUCUACAAAUCCCAUUACAUAGAGUUUAAAAAAUUUACAAACCUGCAAGGAUAAAUUUAAGAUUAUUCCCCUCAUAAAUUGAUUAUUUUUAAACCAUUUUUUUUUUACUUUGAAUAUCUCAUGUUAUUCUCUCUCUUUUUUUCAAAAGAUGCGGAAAAAUUUGAGAGUGGAUUGAUAAAUCUUUUUCUUUUUUUUAAUUGUCUUCUUUUUAAAAAUGGAAUAAAUUGAGAUUAUUUAAAAAAAUAAUUCCCAAAAAGAGUAAUUUGAAAUUAACCGCGGAGUAUAAAAUAAAACUCCGAAACCCAAAUAUCUGGGGGCACAUGAAGAGAUUUGGGGUCACGGGUUGUACUUUUUCAUGGGGAUCUGAUCAAAUCUGCAUGAAAAUCAUCAUGUUUCGCUAAAUUCCCAGGCUUUUUUAAAUUCACUUUCCAUGAAUUUUGUACAAAAGUUCCAUAAAAAAAUUAUUACAUCAUCACUGUUGAAUUAUGAAUGGUCCAAACUCCAAAAUUAACUUUCUCAGAUGUGUCACUCCUUCUGUGCUGAAUAGCGUCUUCUUGCUCUUGCACAGUUAGUCAAUGGGCUGCUUCCUCUCUCUUGCAUACAUCUUCCCAGUAAUAAUAUAAGAGAAAAGGGCAGCAACUUACUAGGUUACAUUCUGUGUAAUAAACAGCCGGCCUGGAUCGAUCGUUGGAUUUGAUAAUCUGAAAUCUAGCGGAUAAGAUCGAAUUUAACGAAAAAUAGAGUAUAGAUUUCAUUAGACCAAGUUUAUUUCAAACAAAAGGUGGUCAUCCAGAGGCAAAAGUUGAAAAAAAAUAAAGAAUGAAAGUUAACGGGAUAAAUCAGAGUCUAGAUUAUAGAGCGCGUAUCUCCAUCUUUACUUGUCAUGGUGUCUCAAUGUAUACUAAUUUAUAAUUUGGAUUACUAGUAAUGGUAAUGAUUCCAUAGAAUAUCUAAUCAAAUUUCCGUUUUAUUGGUUAAAAAUUUAUUUUCAAUCUCUUGCAUAUGUAGGAUUCGAAAAGAGAAAAAAUUAAUAGGAAUGACAAUGGGAAGAGAUAGAGAUGUCGAUUCUAAUACCCAAUACUAGUGCUCGACUCAUGUUCUUAUACGCUCACUAUUUCCGUCAUAAUUACUUGAGGCAGGCAGAGGUGGAUUCACUAUAGGACUACUGGGGGCUCAAGCCCCCACUGGAAAAAAAAUCUCUAUUUCAUAAAAAUAAAAAUAAAAACUAACAUAUUUCUAAAUAGUCUUGUCAAAUUAUUAGAUAGUCUCAUCAUUUAAAAUUUAAACUAUAAUUUUAUUAAUUACAAAAGUUAUACUUUGACUUAAAAAUCAAAACUCAUAGCGCAAAAUAUUUAUAAUUCCUAAUUAUUGAAUUGUGUGUGCCACAUUUUAACUAGAGAUUGGUCAAUAAUUAGCACGUUUUAAAUUGAGAAUUUGAGCAGGCAUAAUAAUUUUACUGAAAAAAAUAUAUUCUCCAUCUCUAAUUUAAUAUUUUUAUAUUGUAACUCUAUCACUAUCGUCUUGAUCAAAUUUACAUUGAUAUGGUAUCUGGCUACCUCGAACUCACAUUUAAAAGUAUGAGAACAUCAACACUGGAAAAUAACUAAACAAUCCUGUGCAUGUGUAGGGAGAGAGAAAUUUCAUGUAUAAAGUGUUGGUCUAAUUUUAAGAAAAUGUAAAGGCUAAAAAACAGGACUAUUAUUUUUAUAUGUGUGUGUUUUCUUUUUUUGGGGUCCGGUUAUGUUACAGUGGCUGUAAGUAACAUUGUAACAUCAAUGACAUGAUUAAUUAACCCAUAUAACAGUGGCGGUUAAAUAGGCAUGUAAAAUUAUUGAGCUAAUGGUGUGUUGUGGACUGAGAAUGAGAUUUUAAUGUUUACUCACAAAAAUAAAUGAGAAUGAGAAUGUGCUGGAAUGUCAUUAAUGUGUUUACUUGACAACAUAAAUGAAAAUGAGGAAUGAAAAUAAAAAUCAAUUUACCAAAAUAUUCAGAGUAUUAAAGAAUGUAAUUUUCACUAACUAG